CAACGUUGAACUCGGUGUCGUCUAAAAUGAUGUACUUGUAUCAUGUACUUUUGCGUGUCAUGUUGUAACAAUUGGAUUUAACUAGAUAACUAAAUAGCUAGUUGUAGUAGCGCCAUACGUUUACAAUACUAGCUAGCUGUAUCGAGACAGACUAAUUGAUGAGAAUGGAUUUUACUCCAUAUUAUCUGCCUAAAUUAAUCAGUGAGAUCUGGAGCCAUGCUUGCUAGCUGCUGGUAUUAUUCGCUGAUCAGAGGAAUGAACUAAAGAAAAUAAACCGCCACAAGAGACUCAAUGUCACAAUGACAAGUGAAAUGAAGCCGGAAAUGCACCUCCACCCCCAAUCCGAGACUGUAUACCCUGUUUCCAACAGACGAUGUGGUUCAGGGAUUGGACUACAGCCGCACUAAGACACUCAAGUCAUCAUCGGAUACAAUGGACUACUAGCAUACAAGAGAAAGAGUUAGCGCAGAAGAUAAUGCUUACCACAGGCAGUGCAGUGCCCUUUCUCAAAACACUCAUUCUUGUAGUGGAAAGAGGUUAUACACCACAGUUGAUAGGGGUGAGAUUAAACUGUGUAUUACUGUGUAUUACUAGAUCCCAUUUGUAAAUGCCAUCGUUGUUUGAGAUAGAUGAAAUGGACCUGCCGGUGUUGAAAUGGGAUGCAGCUCACAUCCUCUUCUAGCCUGUAAGAGGUUCAAUCUGUUCCAGGACAAUAAUCACAAUCCAUUUGACUUUCCUCCCCCUGGUAUUUUAGCUCAGGUACGUGAGACUAUUCAGGACCUUGAAAUAGUAGACAGUAGAGAAAUUAGAGAAUAAUGUCCGGGGCUAAAACUGAUUUUUGGCUAAUGUUUGAUUGUUUAAUUCUGUACGUUGAUAAAAAAUACAUCCUUUGUUUAUACAUUAGGCAGAUAAAAGAAUCCAUGUGGAUACAAUGAGCUGGAGAAGACUUCUCAGAACAGAGUGCCAUAGAAGAAGAUGGCCUAUGCUCCCAAAUGAGCGAUGGGUCAAAGUAAGUAAGUACGUUUGUUUAUACCUUUCGCCUACCUGAUGCAUGUACAAUUUGCAGCAUUUAGGUCCUAUAAUUACAUUUGUUAUACUACUGUAAUAAACUGUAAAGUAACUUAACUUUCUACAAAAUUGCUACUGCUGCCUACAAUCGAUUUUCUGCAGACUCCUGACAACAACUACAAUGUGCUAUCUUCAAUCAUAAUGAUAUCAACCGAUUUUCUGCUCAAAUCCAACAGUGAUGAUCUCUCAUACAAGACAAUGGUGAUAAUUGUCAGGGGGGCGCUUUUCUUAGCUGCCUGCUGUUUUCAGAUUAGUUUUGAUUACCUGUUGGCGAUAUUGGACAUCCCCCUCAGGCUAAAGUCAUCUAUCACAUCACGACAUUAAUAACACCAGUGUCCUUUUGCAUUCAUGAUGCUCCUUUCCCAUACAAUCACUGGGGCUGGUUUCUUGGUCUUGUGCCUGUAAAUAUGGAAACGCUGUCUCCAUUCAUAUAAUGUAAGUAUACACUCCCUAGCAAUUGUGUAAGAGAGGGAUAAUGGUCAGCUGACCAAUAACAAAGGUAGGACGGGGGGCUAAGUCAGUUACCUCUCCCGUUAGGCAAAAACUAUUAUCAUCAAUGUCUAAAUCGCUGUCUGGACAAAGAUAAGGCACUUUAUGACUAGAUUCUUGCACAAGUCCACCCCCACUAUAACUGUUGAUUUGCAGAUAAUGGCUGCUAAUGUGCAGCUGUGUACCUACGUGCAUGGGCAUGUUUUGCCAAAGUAGAAUUCUUUGAAAUAUGAAUAAAUAUGUGAUAAGAUGGUGUGUGUGUGCGCAUGUGGCCAAUGGCCAUGUGCGUCAGAGCGUGUGUGUGUGUGUGUGUGAGGAUCAUUCUGCUCUCCCGUACAUUAAGCUAAGUGCUCCUUGGCUCUCCAGCAGUAGUAAAUGAAGUCUUAUGGCCUGAAGAGGUUUUGUCUUCCAGCUCUGAAUGAAAAGCAGAGACUGUCCCCAGCCUCAGGUCACCGCUCCUGUGAAUCAUCAAAAUCAGAGGACAAAGAGAGAAGCCUCUCUUUUGUGUGUUAGGGAGUGUGUCCGUGCCAGUAUGUAUGCAUCUGUGUGUGUCUUUUUUGUGAUGGUAUUUAAUGCACGUACAGUAUAUAGCCUGUGCCAGCUCUCUACAUUUCUUGUCAUUACAACAAUAACAAAAUAAGAAAAUAAAUCAACAUAAUACCACCAGUCCCUGGCAGUAUCACCAUUCCAUUGCUACCAUCUAGACCUCUGCAUUUAUCUCAAACUGCUGGAAGCCAUUUUAAAUGCAACUCCUUUGAUAAUCAUAUCUUACAGUGGCUUAAAUCUCAUAUACAACAAGAGGUAAACCCAAAGAGGAAUAUAAAAUGUGCAGAUAAUCUGCAGUGGAUCUUGUUCCUCUGUGGUACUGCUGCAACGGUUUGCGGUCUUUAAGGCUGUGAGUACUGUAUGGCUGAGUGUCCUGUACUGCAUCAGUCCCUCACUUUACUCUCUGACCAUCUCUCUCCACAGCUUGUGGAUUUGAGAAGCACUAGGAUUUGACAUAUUAAGCCCAGCACUCACUGUCUCACACUUCAUCUGAAGAGCCUACUUAUC